AUUGAACGCUGGCGGCAGGCCUAACACAUGCAAGUCGAGCGGUAGCACAGGAGAGCUUGCUCUCCGGGUGACGAGCGGCGGACGGGUGAGUAAUGUCUGGGAAACUGCCUGAUGGAGGGGGAUAACUACUGGAAAUGGUAGCUAAUACCGCAUAACGUCGCAAGACCAAAGAGGGGGACCUUCGGGCCUCUUGCCAUCAGAUGUGCCCAGAUGGGAUUAGCUAGUAGGUGGGGUAACGGCUCACCUAGGCGACGAUCCCUAGCUGGUCUGAGAGGAUGACCAGCCACACUGGAACUGAGACACGGUCCGGACUCCUACGGGAGGCAGCAGUGGGGAAUAUUGCACAAUGGGCGCAAGCCUGAUGCAGCCAUGCCGCGUGUAUGAAGAAGGCCUUCGGGUUGUAAAGUACUUUCAGCGGGGAGGAAGGUGUUGUGGUUAAUAACCACAGCAAUUGACGUUACCCGCAGAAGAAGCACCGGCUAACUCCGUGCCAGCCGCCGCAGUAACAC
rnacentral:rRNA from 1 species